rnacentral:lncRNA from 1 species
AAACAGGUCACCAGGGGGUACAAGGCCUGAGGAGAAAGGAGAGGAGGUCACAGGAUCAUUUAUAUUUCAACAAACCAGGAAGAUUCCUAAAAGAAGUGUUAUUGCAUUGGUAAACUCUACCAAGACAAAUUUAACCACAGGAGGAAUUUGCUUAUGACCAAAUAAACAGAGGUGCUACUGUGCUUUUCCUGCCUAACUGGGCCAGCUUCCCGCAGCAACUUGAGAAGACAGCAAAGGUUCAUCAUUUUGAGGAAGGGAAGUGCUCAAGUUGAGAGCACCUUAGCUCUCCUGCCUAAGACAUUACCUGCAUAAACUGAAGAG